AUGAGGGUUUGUGAAGGAAUCAUAAUUCUAGGGAUUAAUUCAAUCAUUGUGCAACCUAACAAUAACCAAGGCCUCAUACAAGUUGUUUCACAACAAAUUCAGAAUUACAAUUCAAGUCAUAGGCCUAUCUCCUUUAUUGAAAAUCACAAAAUCCCAUUUUGGUUCACAAAAAGAGGUUCAAAAAUACAAACGGAAGUCGCAUUUCCAGCCCAACAAAUCAUCACAGUCUGGCAAAAUCAGAAUUCACUCAUGUUUGCAAAAAUAACAAAAGCCUCAUACAAAAUCAUAUUUAAUCACAUGCCCAAUUCUCCUACUGCAAAUCUCAAAUGA